rnacentral:misc_RNA from 1 species
AACGGAGGGCGCAAGCGUUGUUCGGAAUCAUUGGGCGUAAAGUGCGCGCAGGCGGAAUGGGAAGUCGGUGGUGAAAGGCCGGGGCUCAACCCCGGAUGGGCCAUCGAAACUCCCCUUCUAGGGAUCGGUAGAGGUCGGUGGAAUUCCCGGAGUAGCGGUGGAAUGCGUAGAUAUCGGGAAGAACACCCGUGGCGAAGGCGACCGGCUGGGCCGAAUCCGACGCUGAGGCGCGAAAGCGUGGGGAGCAAACAGG